rnacentral:rRNA from 1 species
UACAGAGGUCUCGAGCGUUAGGCGGAAUCACUGGGCUUAAAGCGUGUGUAGGCGGAUCGGUAAGUACCUUGUGAAAUCCCACAGCUUAACUGUGGAACUGCUUGGUAUACUGCCAGUCUUGGAGCCACUUAGGGGCUACCGGAACAAAUGGUGGAGCGGUGAAAUGCGUAGAUAUCAAUUUGGAACGCCAAUGGUGAAAACAGGUAGCUGGGGAGUGUGCUGACGCUGAGACACGAAAGCCAGGGGAGCAAACGGG